UACGUAGGGGGCAAGCGUUGUCCGGAAUCAUUGGGCGUAAAGCGCGCGUAGGCGGCCCGGUAAGUCCGCUGUGAAAGUCCAGGGCUCAACCCUGGAAAGCCGGUGGAUACUGCCGGGCUAGAGUCCGGAAGAGGCGAGUGGAAUUCCCGGUGUAGUAGUGAAAUACGUAGAUAUCGGGAAGAACACCUGAGGCGAAGGCGGCUAUCUGGCGGUGCACUGACGCUGAGGCGCGAAAGCGUGGGGAGCAAACAGG
rnacentral:rRNA from 1 species